CGGAGAAUAGACAUGUAAAAGUUAUUUAGAUGACAUUCGUAAUCAACUUGAAAUAAACAUUUCCGGCGGCUGCGAUAAGAGGUCCAUUGCUGGAACACUGCUGAAUGGAUAAAUAAGAAUCCCUGAGGCGUGAGUGGACAGCUCUUGAUUGUGGUCAGUUGUCUCUGCGGGCUGGCUGGGGGGAAUUUUAGAAUGGUUUGGAAUCCAUGUCGGGUUGAAGCAGAGGAACUUAAGUCAGACUUUCAGGGUCAGUGUUAAUGGGGUGAAAGGUGGGAGUGAUUCUAAAGGCCAACAGCUCAAGGGAGGCCCACAACAAUUCUAGUAGGAUUUAUACCAGACUGUAAGGGGGAAAAAAUCUGUAUUAAAACA